UCAAAAUACUUUCAAAUUAUUGAAAGUUUUCAUUCCAAAUCCUAGAUUUUUAGGAUUGUUACCCUUGAGAAACUGUUUCUCACACUAGAGCUCCCCCCAUAGUGCUCUAAAUAUAGCUUAGUAAAGGCACCUACUUUGCUCUAAGCAUACUUAAAGUUAAAACAAAAGUAUGUAUACGAAGAGUUUGAUAUUUUUAAUAGUUGGAGUCUGUUUUGCUAAUUUUAGUGUGCAAGUCAGCACAAGGGGCAUAGUGAGCCUGAUGGAAGCUUUCCUCAGGUGAGUGAGUUUCACAAUCAAAAUUAGGUGCCUGUUUCUUAAAAUUAGAUUCUGCUGCAGGUUUACAUACUAGACUUUUCAGCCUGCAUGAAUUAGUAGGGAUAUUCUUUUUUUACUUGCAUAAUUGUAAUUGAUUUAAACAUGUAUGCCAGAAUUCACAGGCCCAUACUAACUGUCCUUAAUUUCUUUCCUACAGCAGUACUGCUAUAUGCCAGUCCUGUCUGCAUUCUUAAGGGUGCAGUUCAACACAUCCUCUCUAGAUUAUGGUGAAAAAGUAUUCCAAAGGAAGUCUUAUCAGAGCUAGUGUCAGAAAGAAUGACACUACCAAUUGGGCAUGAUCUUCAGCAUAGGAAAUGUCUUAGAAUUUUAUUAUUUUUUCCUAAAUUGUGAUGCUAUACUACUUGUAUAGCUAGUUACCACAUUUCUAAAGCAUAGUGUGCCUCUGUGAAUCUUGUUAUAUACUGUUUGGGCUUCUGUAAGAUAUUUUGAAGUUUGAAAAGCAAAUACUGAAACUUUAACCAAGAGACUGACACAUCUCUUUGUACACCACGUUGCUUCUGUGUGCAUCAUAAUAACUGGUAGAAGUAAUAUAUUUAAAGUAAUAUGUUUCCAGUUUUAAUUUAUGCUUUCUAAGAAAUAAAAAUAUGUUUUCUGGGUCAACAAAACUUAAAGCAUGAAGCCCUUUUUAGUAACGUGACAUCAGAAUAAGAUUAUAGGUAUAUUUUUAAAAUCAGAUUUUCUAAACUACAAUUGUUUUAGAACACUGUAUGAAGAACUUAUCUAGUCAUAGUUAUUUGUAGUCAGGAUUUUAACAGCUUGCAACAGGUAAUGUUUUGAAUAUAAAUAUCUUUCCAAAGUGUUACUAAUGGUAAAGAGAUAAUUUUCUAGGCUUCUAUUCUGCUGCUUGAAGUCAGAACUGCUGAUGGAGACAAAGGCACGAAAGUGUACGUAUUCCGGAUUAGCAACCCAGGAACCCAUCACUUCUGAAGACUCUAAACUGUGCUGUCAUUUUGUUUUUAUAUGCAUUAAAAUAUUUGUUUUAAACUGCUGUAGAUGUUUGUGUUCAAACAGGUUAAAUUGAUCAGCAAACUCAAUAAAAAGUAAGAUGUAUAAUUAUUAAAGUUUUCCAUCAAAAAAUAAUUUAAAUGAUUAUGGAAUAACAUAAUAUUUAGAGCAGGGCAGAUAAAUCAGUUGAACCUGCUUAUUUUUUAUUUAUUGUACUCUUUUUCCUGUUGCUGUUCUUUUCUGCAGGAGGGAAAACCCCUGAUCCUAAAAUGAAUGCUAGGACUUACAUGGAUGUAAUGCGAGAACAACACUUGACUAAAGAAGAACGAGAAAUUAGGCAACAGCUAGCAGAAAAAGCUAAAGCUGGAGAACUAAAAGUCGUCAAUGGAGCAGCAGCGUCCCAGCCUCCAUCAAAACGAAAACGGCGUUGGGAUCAAACAGCUGAUCAGACUCCUGGUGCCACUCCCAAAAAACUAUCAAGUUGGGAUCAGGCAGAGACCCCUGGGCAUACUCCUUCCUUAAGAUGGGAUGAGACACCAGGUCGUGCAAAGGGAAGCGAGACUCCUGGAGCAACCCCAGGCUCAAAAAUAUGGGAUCCUACACCUAGCCACACACCAGCGGGAGCUGCUACUCCUGGACGAGGUGAUACACCAGGCCAUGCGACACCAGGCCAUGGAGGCGCAACUUCCAGUGCUCGUAAAAACAGAUGGGAUGAAACCCCC
rnacentral:lncRNA from 1 species